GUGGGGAAUAUUGCACAAUGGGCGAAAGCCUGAUGCAGCAACGCCGCGUGAAGGAAGAAGGCCCUUGGGUCGUAAACUUCUGUUCUAAGGGAAGAUAAUGACGGUACCUUAGGAGCAAGUCCCGGCUAACUACGUGCCAGCAGCCGCGGUAAUACGUAGGGGGCGAGCGUUAUCCGGAAUUAUUGGGCGUAAAGAGUACGUAGGUGGUUAUCUAAGCGAGGGGUUUAAGGCAAUAGCUCAACUAUUGUUUGCCCCGCGAACUGGGUGACUUGAGUGCUGGAGAGGAAAGCGGAAUUCCUAGUGUAGCGGUGAAAUGCGUAGAUAUUAGGAGGAACAUCAGUGGCGAAGGCGGCUUUCUGGACAGUAACUGACACUGAGGUACGAAAGUGUGGGGAGCAAACAGGAUUAGAAACCCGGGUAGUCC
rnacentral:rRNA from 1 species